AUUGAACGCUGGCGGCAGGCUUAACACAUGCAAGUCGAGCGGGGUGAUGGUGCUUGCACUAUCACUUAGCGGCGGACGGGUGAGUAAUGCUUAGGAAUCUGCCUAUUAGUGGGGGACAACAUCUCGAAAGGGAUGCUAAUACCGCAUACGUCCUACGGGAGAAAGCAGGGGAUCACUUGUGACCUUGCGCUAAUAGAUGAGCCUAAGUCGGAUUAGCUAGUUGGUGGGGUAAAGGCCUACCAAGGCGACGAUCUGUAGCGGGUCUGAGAGGAUGCUCCGCCACACUGGGACUGAGACACCGCCCAGACUCCUACGGGAGGCAGCAGUGGGGAAUAUUGGACAAUGGGGGGAACCCUGAUCUAGCCAUGCCGCGUGUGUGAAGAAGGCCUUAUGGUUGUAAAGCACUUUAAGCGAGGAGGAGGCUCUUUUGGUUAAUACCCAAGAUGAGUGGACGUUACUCGCAGAAUAAGCACCGGCUAACUCUGUGCCAGCAGCCGCGGUAACAC
rnacentral:rRNA from 1 species